UGGGGAAUAUUGCACAAUGGGCGAAAGCCUGAUGCAGCAACGCCGCGUGAGUGAUGAAGGUCUUCGGAUUGUAAAGCUCUGUCUUUUGGGACGAUAAUGACGGUACCAAAGGAGGAAGCCACGGCUAACUACGUGCCAGCAGCCGCGGUAAUACGUAGGUGGCGAGCGUUGUCCGGAUUUACUGGGCGUAAAGGGUGCGUAGGCGGUAUGUUUAAGUGAGAUGUGAAAUACCCGGGCUUAACUUGGGUGCUGCAUUUCAAACUGGAUAUCUAGAGUGCAGGAGAGGAGAAUGGAAUUCCUAGUGUAGCGGUGAAAUGCGUAGAGAUUAGGAAGAACACCAGUGGCGAAGGCGAUUCUCUGGACUGUAACUGGCGCUGAGGCACGAAAGCGUGGGUAGCAAACAGGAUUAGAUACCCUGGUAGUCCACGCCGUAAAACGAUGAGUACUAGGUGUAGGAGGUAUCGACCCCUUCUGUGCCGCAGUAAACACAUUAAGUACUCCGCCUGGGAAGUACGAUCGCAAGAUUAAAACUCUAAAGUGAAUUGACGGGGUC
rnacentral:rRNA from 1 species